ensembl:lncRNA
GGAAUGGUUUAUUGUAUAAGUUGGAGAGGAUUGAAAGUUGUACCUACAGUAUCAUCACUCUUUUUUAUUGAAGUAUAGCUGAUUGGCAAUAUUGUGUUAAUUUCAGGUGCACAACAGCAUGAUACAGUUAUAUACAGAUGAGUGGAGUCGACAGCAAGAACACCAAGAAUGUGCUUCACCGACAGGGCCGAACCAGCCAGGGAGAGGCUUGAGCUGAGGUUUGAAGGAGAGCCACUGCGCUGCGCAUCUCUAGGCAGUGAGGCCAGAGCCGUGAUCUGUGGCAGAGGCCCCUGCCAGGCGUUUGCCAACAGGCAGUGGAGGCCACUGGGAUUCUUGGCAAGUGGAACCCCAGAUGCAGCAGAACCCCAUCAUCAGCCUCAGACACAGAGCCGGACGCAGAGCAAGCACUCCCCACUGAGACGAAAGCCAUGCCCUAGAGGUCCCUGCCCGAUGCCCCAGGGGCCCUGACAUGCCUGCAGAGUGGACACUGUGACCAUGCAGAGUCUGAGGGCCCUCUGUUCAAGAGGAAUGUUCAGAGACCUGCUAGCCCUGUACCUAUUUCACAGAACAGGAGACUGGAGGCCCCGGGAAGGAAGGACCUGCCUAAGGACACACAGUGAGUAACUGGUCACCUGACGCCUACCUUGGACUAAUGUCCCCUGAAGAGCUAGUUGGGCCCUUCCCUAGGUCACUGAACAAAAUGUCCAAAUGUAAAGUCCCUUUAUCCAAAGGGUGGCCAGGCACUUUCAGCCCCCUUUCCCUCUGGCUUCGGGAAUCUGUGAUACAAGGCUGGGUCCAGGACGUGGCAGACAGUCUGUCCCACAGGAUAUCAUGGGACAGUACAAGAAGCAUGAAAAUUGGUGUCCAAAGCUGUCUUUGACUCAACUCCUCUGGGCAGCCUCAAAGACAUCACUUAACCUCUAGUUAUGUUACUGAAAGUGGGGUCUGGCUGCUUGCUGCUUGCGCCAAUAGGCAAGGUUGGAAGAAAGCAAAGUUUGCUUUACUUUGGAGACUGGCAGCCAGGGGGAGAGGGCAGACUCAUGUCCAAAGGCCAACUCCUCCAUCCCCCUGCAAAAAUCAGUGGACAAGAGAUUUUAAAGGGGAGGUUCAUGGGUGUAUAGAUGAAAAGGGAAAGCUACACACAAAAACAGCCCAGUCAGCUCUGACAUUCAUCUUCAAAUUGGCCAUGCUAGUAGUCUGAUGUUGAUUGUUUUAAGUGGUGUUAGUCUUUAGUUCCAGAGUCAGUUUGUUCCCAUUUCUGUGAAGCCACUUCUCAGAAUUGUGGCUGCUUAUGUCAUGGCUACAGUCUGGUCAUCCUGUAGUUAACAUCUUCUGUCUGGUGAGGGUUUCUGUGUCUACAAAACAGCUCAAAGGAUAUGGCUCCAAAUAUUAUCUAUAACCCUGGAGGAGGAACUAAAGGUCCUUGACUUUAGUUAAUGACUAUGCUAUUACUAUUUGGUCUCAUUUUCCUUUGCCCCUGCAUCUUCCCACUUCGCUGAUUAGACUUAUUCUUUGGCUAAAGUUUUCCUACAGAUAAAAGGCAGUGGGAGGACAUGGGGGGAAGGACCAGAGGGUCCUCCUCCCUUUCAGUGCCCAGUCUCCUCAUUUGUACAGUGAGACAAUGCAGUCUGUCCUGCUGGUUUCUUAGGCCACAAGGAUUAAGUAGUAUGGCAUCUGGGACAGACAGUCACAUGGGUGUCAAGGAUGGGGGAUUACUCCCACUCCCCCAGAAGAGCCCUCAGUCCACCUGAUGAGGCAUUCCUGGUACCACACCCACCUUUUACAGAAUUCACCUGAAGCAACUGCUUUUCCGCAAUACCUAGAACAGACCCUAUACACCAAUAUUUGAAACACCUCCAUCUUGGCUUUAUGGGAAAAUGGGAAUCCAGAAGCCUCCUAGCUGAGGCAUCUAAAUAUGGGGUCCCAUGCUGCCAGGGACCCACAAAGCAGGGCCCUGGUACCUCUAGGCUACUGUCAAGAUUCUGAAUUCUUAUGAAAGAUCUUUCCCCAGGUAAACUCAAGGGCCAAUUUUCUCUGCUUUGGACUAGAAUAUUCUUUCAGAGUGUAGUAAUAAUGCCAUUAUCUUGUGUUAGCCAGAAGUUUGGCUUGGUAGUACAGGUGUUUUUGAUUAAUAUAAUGUGCACCCUAAUUAACUGUUAUGUGAUAAGUGAGGUUUGGUAGGAAGACCUUUUUCAAAAUUUUACAAUCCCCAGCAAUUUCACUUUUAGGUAUUUCUACCAAGAUAUCAUUAUGAAUAUGUGCAGUGGUUUAUGACAAGGCUAUCUGUUGAUACAAUGUGUACAGUUUUUAAAAGUUCAACAACUGGUUAAAGUUAUGGUGCAGUCAAAUGAUGGGAUUGCAUGCAGUCAACUAAAAUCAACUUAUAGAAGAAUACUUGAUAACACUGAGAAAUAUGAUUUGAAUAUUGCUGAGCAGAGGGCAAAAGCUUACAAAAUCUUGUGCAUUUAAAAGAAAGAUUAUAGGAGUUCCCAUCAUGGUGCAGCAGAAACGAAUCUGACUAGGAACCAUGAGGUUGCGGAUCCCUGGCCUUGCUCAGUGGGUUAAGGAUCCGGCGUUGCUGUGAGCUGUGGUGUAGGUCGCAGAUGCAGCUCGGAUCUGGCAUUGCUGUGGCUCUGGCGUAGCCCGGUGGCUACAGCUCCAAUUAGACUCCUAGCCUGGGAACCUCCAUAUGCCAUGGG